rnacentral:rRNA from 1 species
CCUACGGGUGGCUGCAGUAGGGAAUAUUGGGCAAUGGAGGCAACUCUGACCCAGCCAUGCCGCGUGAAGGAAGAAGGCGUUAUGCGUUGUAAACUUCUUUUGAUUGGGAAGAAACGACUCUUGCGAGAGGCAUUGACGGUACCAAUCGAAUAAGCACCGGCUAACUCCGUGCCAGCAGCCGCGGUAAUACGGAGGGUGCAAGCGUUGUCCGGAUUUAUUGGGUUUAAAGGGUGCGUAGGCGGCUUAUUAAGUCAGCGGUGAAAGACCGGAGCUCA